UGGGGAAUAUUGCACAAUGGGCGCAAGCCUGAUGCAGCCAUGCCGCGUGUGUGAAGAAGGCCUUCGGGUUGUAAAGCACUUUCAGCGAGGAGGAAGGGUUCAGUGUUAAUAGCACUGUGCAUUGACGUUACUCGCAGAAGAAGCACCGGCUAACUCCGUGCCAGCAGCCGCGGUAAUACGGAGGGUGCAAGCGUUAAUCGGAAUUACUGGGCGUAAAGCGCACGCAGGCGGUUUGUUAAGUCAGAUGUGAAAUCCCCGCGCUUAACGUGGGAACUGCAUUUGAAACUGGCAAGCUAGAGUCUUGUAGAGGGGGGUAGAAUUCCAGGUGUAGCGGUGAAAUGCGUAGAGAUCUGGAGGAAUACCGGUGGCGAAGGCGGCCCCCUGGACAAAGACUGACGCUCAGGUGCGAAAGCGUGGGGAGCAAACA
rnacentral:rRNA from 1 species